GUAGUCUCGCACAGAUGCAUAUCAAUAAGCGGAGGAAAAGAAACUAACAAGGAUUCCCUUAGUAACGGCGGGUGAAGCGGGAAGAGCUCAAAUUUGAAAUCUUCAAGGUUCUACCUUGACGAAUUGUAGUUUAAAGAAGUGUUUUCUGUUAGAUGAGUAGGCAAAAGUUCCUUGGAAUAGGGACAUCAUAGAGGGUGAGAAUCCCGUAUUUGGUUAUUCAUUCUAAGCUUUGUGAUACACUUUCAAAGAGUCGGAUUGUUUGGGAACGCAGUCCAAAAUGGGUGGUAAAUUUCAUCUAAAGCUAAAUAUUGGCGAGAGACCGAUAGCGAACAAGUACCGUGAGGGAAAGAUGAAAAGAACUUUGAAAAGAGAGUUAAACAGUACGUGAAAUUGUCAAAAGGGAAGCGUUUGACACCAGUGUUGUUUUUCCUGAAAAAUCAAUUACGAAUGGCUUGAUUUUGUGUUGUAUUGACCUUAUCAGCUUUCUGCACUUUUUUCGAGUCUUUCUUAAUGCACUUUUUGGUUAACAAGUCAACAUCAAUUUCUUUUGUUGUAAAAGAGUAUUCGGAAGGGUGGCUUUCUUUUCGGAGAAAGUGUUUAUAGCCCUAUACUUCUACAAUCGGAGAGAUUGAGGUCUGCAGCGUAGAUCCUUCGGGGUUAGAUACACUUGUGCUAGGUUGUAGCUUUUCAUAGACAACUUGUUGACUAUGAUUUAGUCUAUGUCGGCUUACUCGCUUAUGCUAUUUUACCUACGCUUAGGAUGUUGACGCGCGUGUGUGCGUG
rnacentral:rRNA from 1 species